UACGGAGGGGGGCUAGCGUUUGUUCGGAAUUACUGGGCGUAAAGCGCACGUAGGCGGCUUUUGUAAGUUAGAGGUGAAAUCCCAGGGCUCAACCCUGGAACUGCCUUUGAUACUGGCAAUCUGGAGAUCGGGAGAGGUUGGUGGAAUUCCGAGUGUAGAGGUGAAAUUCGUAGAUAUUCGGAGGAACACCAGAAGCGAAGGCGGCCAAACUGGCCCGAUACUGACGCUGAGGCGACGAAAGGCGUGGGGGAGCAAACAAGG
rnacentral:rRNA from 1 species